AUCGAGUAGACCGUCUGCGUGCUUGUUGGAAGUUGGAGACUGGAAGUUGACUGAGAUUAAGCUAGCAAAAGAUGAAUCGAGGCAUCAAGAGACACAAGGGGGGAGCGGAGAAACAGGAACAAAUCUAAGAGAGCACUGUUGGCUGAAGGUGAAAAAUGCUGCAAACUGAGUUGUUUUUAAAAUCAAGUGCAGCUUGAGCUAGCACUAGCGCUUAUAAUGCUAGCACUAUUGUACACCAGGGACAAAGACAGGACAGUGAGGAAUAUGAUCCAGAGGAAGAAUAAAACAAGCAAGAGGAGGAUGAAGACAUAGACAUGAUAACUGCAUGAUGACAUCCACACGCUGUUUCAGUGGUCGAAAGGACACAAAUUCUUCACCACUGCCCUCAACAGAGAGGAAGGAUGUGAACUGCUGAAUGAUGACAUCACCUACCUACAAUGUUGACAGGAAAAUUAAGAUACAAUUAUUCACACCAUUAUUACAUUCCAUUCUUCAACAUCCAUUUGACAAAAUACAUACAACACAGCAUCACAUAAUAGUAUCCACAUAGAUCUACAAGUUCAUUUAAUUUGGCAAAAGCAAAGACACUUUCAUGCUCAGGGUAAAAAGGCAGAAAAUCCCAAAUUAAACCUCUAGCACAAGUUCUUAAGCAAUUUGCAUAACCUAUCUGUCCCUAUACAAUACUUUCUUACCAGCUGGAAUGCCACCUGCCAACUGCUUUCCCUGGAUGAACGUUUGCACUAUACUCUUCAUCUGUGUGAUGCACCACUCAGGAUCUCCAAACAUGCAAUCUGCCUGACCACAGCGGAUUUCAGGGGACAUUUCUCUUGCAGCUUCCUAACCACCUUAACCAGGCACUGCAAACAUUCUCGCCUGAAGUCACAAGGUGGCGCUGUUGAGUUGAUGAUGCGUGGAUCUACGCUGCCGGCUGAAAACACGUCAUCCAUCUUAGAGCAGAAUGCCAGGAUCCACAAUGAAAACUUGCAUAUCUUGCAAGCAACACGUCUGUCUUUGUGGGGCACAGCAGCCCAUGAAAAAAAAAAUCAUCAAGGCAAAGAACAAGGCUACGAAGGAAUGGGGAGAGGAGCUGAAGAAAGGGGGCAAUAUUGCCAAACUUUUUGAUGCUGCACGGAUUCUGACCCUGCACCUGCACCCUCUCCCUCCUCCUCACUUGGACUUCCACGACCCUCUGCUUCAUCCCAGCCCCCCAUGACCAAGCCUCUACCCCUAAGCUGUGCUCGACACGAAAGCAAACAGACCCUGUGCCUGCACCCAGUAUUGUGUCCCAGACCCCUCCUGAACCAACUCCCCUGCCCUCUGCUUCGCCCCAUCCCCCUAAGCUGUGCUCUGCACUCAAGCAAAUAGGCUGUGUCCUAGGCAUCUUCUUUAUUUGCCCCUCACCUCCCCAGGUCGUAGUAACAGACCCAAUCCAGUCAACCUAGCAGGGAAUGCUGGAGGUCAAAGUGAAGUGGGUGCCAUGCCCUCAGUGCCACCUGAGAUGGGCCGAUUGGUGGGUGACACAAGAUGACCUCACUUAGAUGUCAAAGACUUUCCUUUAAUGUGUUCUUCAUUUUGUAAUGUUCUGGUUUGUUCUUGCCAUUAAAGUUGUGCUGCUGCAGGCUCA